ensembl:snoRNA SNORD115 Small nucleolar RNA SNORD115
GGGUCAAUGAUGACAAUCUUCCUGUCAUGAAGAGAGAUGAUGACAUGAAAAUCAUGCUCAAUAGGAUUACACUGAGGCCC